CGGACGGGUGAGGUAACGCGUGGGGAACCGUGCCCUGUACAGGGGGAGUUAACACUUAGAAAUAGGUGCUAAUACCGCAUAAGCGCACAGUAUCGCAUGAUACAGUGUGAAAAACUCCGGUGGUACAGGAUGGACCCGCGUCUGAUUAGCUGGUUGGCGGGUAACGGCCCACCAAGGCGACGAUCAGUAGCCGGCCUGAGAGGGUGAACGGCCCACAUUGGGACUGAGACACGGCCCAAACUCCUACGGGAGGCAGCAG
rnacentral:rRNA from 1 species